GACGAACGCUGGCGGCGUGCUUAACACAUGCAAGUCGAACGGAAAGGCCCUGCUUUUGUGGGGUGCUCGAGUGGCGAACGGGUGAGUAACACGUGAGUAACCUGCCCUUGACUUUGGGAUAACUUCAGGAAACUGGGGCUAAUACCGGAUAGGAGCCCCUGCUGCAUGGUGGGGGUUGGAAAGUUUCGGCGGUUGGGGAUGGACUCGCGGCUUAUGAGCUUGUUGGUGGGGUAGUGGCUUACCCAGGCUUUGACGGGUAGCCGGCCUGAGAGGGGGACCGGCCACAUUGGGACUGAGAGACGGCCCAGACUCCUACGGGAGGCAGCAGUGGGGAAUAUUGCACAAUGGGCGGAAGCCUGAUGCAGCAACGCCGCGUGCGGGAUGACGGCCUUCGGGUUGUAAACCGCUUUCGCCUGUGACGAAGCGUGAGUGACGGUAAUGGGUAAAGAAGCACCGGCUAACUACGUG
rnacentral:rRNA from 1 species